rnacentral:rRNA from 1 species
UUACUGGCUCAGGAUGAACGCUAGCGACAGGCUUAACACAUGCAAGUCGAGGGGCAGCAUAAAAGUAGCAAUACUUUGGUGGCGACCGGCGCACGGGUGAGUAACGCGUAUGCAACCUACCUAUCAGAGGGGAAUAACCCGGCGAAAGUCGGACUAAUACCGCAUAAAACAGGGGCACCGCAUGGUGAUAUUUGUUAAAGAAAUUCGCUGAUAGAUGGGCAUGCGUUCCAUUAGGUAGUUGGUGAGGUAACGGCUCACCAAGCCGACGAUGGAUAGGGGAACUGAGAGGUUGGUCCCCCACACUGGUACUGAGACACGGACCAGACUCCUACGGGAGGCAGCAGUGAGGAAUAUUGGUCAAUGGGCGGGAGCCUGAACCAGCCAAGUCGCCGUGAAGGAAGAAGGAUCUAUGGUUCGUAAACUUCUUUUGCAGGGGAAUAAAGUGCAGGACGUGUCCUGUUUUGUAUGUACCCUGAGAAUAAGGAUCGGCUAACUCCGUGCCAGCCGCCGC